rnacentral:rRNA from 1 species
UACGUAGGGGGCAAGCGUUGUCCGGAUUUAUUGGGCGUAAAGAGCGUGUAGGCGGCUUUACAGGUCCGUUGUGAAAACUCGAGGCUCAACCUCGAGACGCCGGUGGAAACCGUAAGGCUAGAGUCCGGAAGAGGAGAGUGGAAUUCCUGGUGUAGCGGUGAAAUGCGCAGAUAUCAGGAGGAACACCCGUGGCGAAAGCGGCUCUCUGGGACGGUACUGACGCUGAGACGCGAAAGCGUGGGAGCAAACAGG